rnacentral:lncRNA from 1 species
AAGCUGCCAAUCCAGGACCUAGGACAUUAGGACAGACCUGGUAUCCUUAGAUAUGCCCAAGAUUCCCAUCUCCCUUACCACAUGUAACUUGUAUGAUACUGUCUGCUACAUAGUUUCUGUGGCCCUGGAACCAGGAAAGCCUAAAGCCUCAACUUUCUCCAUGAUUCUGGGGAGGAUCCCCCUGUGCAAAAUUUACAUGACCUAGAACGCCUCAAGGAGAAAAUGGAAUACAAUUCUUUUCCAUCUGAUUUAGCAAAUUGUUCCCACAGGAUUUUUAUUGCCUUUUCUUUCUGCUUGUUCUACUCUCAAUCCCUCAGCUUCUCUAUUUCCUAAGAAAGUCCAGCAUUUGACUAUGGUUAUUUCUGGACUCUCAGAUGCAGAGAUUUCAUAACAGUGUUUUGGGGAAAAGAAAAUCACUGCAUUAAAUAUACACAUUGAUUCUCAGACACAUGAAUUUCAGGUAUAUAUAUAUAUAUAUUUUUAUUGAUUUUGUAAAAAUAUUACAUUAAAAAAUAUAUGAGGUCCCAUUCUCAGGUAUAUUUUUUAAAGUUAGUGUCUUAGAAUGAAGAAAAUAAAGAUAAGCAUGUCAUGAUGUAUGAUUGUUCUGUAUGUUCACAACUUCUUAAUAAAAAAUACAUAUAUAUUUUUUACAAGAUAAGUGUGCCAUUUAUAAUGCAGGGAGAAGAGGUGGAAUUUAGGCAGAAAUGGCCAAAUCUGGCUGGCAGAAGGGUCCUAGGAAAUGUCAUUUAGGGCAUUUGGCAGCUACAGCAAGGUAAGAAGCAGAACAAGUGAGAAUCGAAAGGAAAAAAGACAAAAAUGCUAGAACUCAUUUCAGACAAUGCACACACCACCUCCAGAGCAUGUUUGCAAUUUCCCAGAGCUCUGCAAAACAACCUUAUCUAUAUCCUGGGUAGCUUUGCAAGGCCUUUCUUGUUGCACUUUUCCUUUGCAAAGGUUUUUGUUGUUUUUUUAAAGAUUUAUUUAUUUAUUUAUUUCUCUCCCCUUCCCCCCCCACCCCAGUUGUCUGUUCUCUGUGUCUCUUUGCUGUGUCUUCUUUGUGCACUUCUGUUGUUGUCAGCAGCACGGGAAUCUGUUUCUUUUUGUUGCGUUAUCUUGUUGUGUCAGCUCUCUGUGUGUGCAACACCAUUCCUGGGCAGGCUGCACUUUCUUUCGCGCUGGGCGGCUCUCCUUAUGGGGCACACUCCUUGCGUGUGGGGCUCCCCUAUGCAGGGGACACCCCUGCGUGGCAGGGCACUCCUUGCACGCAUCAGGACUGCGCAUGGGCCAGCUCCACAUGGGUCAAGGAGGCCCGGGUUUGAACCACGGACCUCCCAUUGGUAAGGUUUUCUAGCCUCAUAUUAACUCAACCUACUCAGCCCAGCCCUGCUUCCCCCUUACAUUCCACAGAAUCUGUAUCACUCCUUAGAAUUCUCUCUUUGCUUACUUCUAGCAAAUUAAAAACCCUCAGAGAAAAAGAAAUUGUGGAGGAGGACCUAGGAAGUGAACUCCCAUGAAGAAAACUUCCAGGGUCUGGGUCCAGCUCCUG